rnacentral:rRNA from 1 species
UGCGUAGGCGGUCUUUCAAGUCAGAAGUGAAAGGCUACGGCUCAACCGUAGUAAGCUUUUGAAACUGUAGGACUUGAGUGCAGGAGAGGAGAGUGGAAUUCCUAGUGUAGCGGUGAAAUGCGUAGAUAUUAGGAGGAACACCAGUUGCGAAGGCGGCUCUCUGGACUGUAACUGACGCUGAGGCACGAAAGCGCGGGGAGCGAACA